CCUACGGGAGGCAGCAGUGGGGAAUAUUGCGCAAUGGGCGAAAGCCUGACGCAGCGAUGCCGCGUGAGGGAUGAAGGUCUUCGGAUCGUAAACCUCUGUCAGCAGGGAAGAACGGUCACUGUGCUAAUCAGCAGUGAAUUGACGGUACCUGCAAAGGAAGCACCGGCUAACUCCGUGCCAGCAGCCGCGGUAAUACGGAGGGUGCGAGCGUUAAUCGGAAUUACUGGGCGUAAAGCGCUCGUAGGCGGUAUGUCAAGUCAAGGGUGAAAUCCCCGCGCUCAACGUGGGAACUGCCUUUGAAACGGGCAAACUGGAGUGUGUGAGAGGAUAGUGGAAUUCCAGGUGUAGGAGUGAAAGCCGUAGAUAUCUGGAGGAACAUCAGUGGCGAAGGCGACUAUCUGGCACAUAACUGACGCUGAGGAGCGAAAGCGUGGGUAGCAAACAGGAUUAGAUACCCGAGUAGUC
rnacentral:rRNA from 1 species